UGGCUCAGAGGGUAAAGCAUCUGCCUGCAAUGCGGGAGACCCGGGUUCGAUCCCUGG
rnacentral:tRNA from 1 species